rnacentral:rRNA from 1 species
GAUGAACGCUGGCGGCGUGCCUAAUACAUGCAAGUCGAGCGACGCGGGGGCGGGUGAGUAAAACGUAGAGAAACCACUAUAAGACGGGGAUAACUUCGGGAAACCGGAGCUAAACCGGCUACUUAUCGAUGGAUGCAUGCGGAAUUAGCUAGUUUGUAGGGUAACGGCUUACCAAGGCGACGAUGCAUAGCCGACCUGAGAGGGUGAUCGGCCACACUGGAACUGAGACACGGUCCAGACUCCUACGGGAGGCAGCAGUAGGGAAUCUUCCGCAAUGGGCGAAAGCCUGAUGGAGCAACGCCGCGUGAGUGAUGAAGGUCUUCGGAUCGUAAAACUCUGUUAUUAGGGAAGCGGUACCUAAUCAGAAAGCCACGGCUAACUACGUGCCAGCAGCCGCGGUAAUAC